UCUUUCACUCUCUUCGUUUCUUAGUAUUUUGUUCAAGAAUUUGGGCAGUAGCUAUGUUGGAGACGUUUGAUUAUUGUGAUUUGAGGUUGUGAUCUUGGAGAUAAAUUUUAGCUCACUGGAAUGAGUUUGAUCUUUGAGGGCUAAAGUGUUGAUUUUAAAACGGUUAUAUUUUGCUACUGAAAUUUAGCAUAAGGGCAGUCUAUUGUACUUUUGUUCCAUUUGUGUGUUAAAGCUCUACGAAUGCUACUACGGUUAUGAGAUUUCUCUAGCCAUGAUUCUAUAUCCUUGAGCUAGCAUGAUGUUCUACACAGAGGCAGGGGUGUGCUUGUGCUAUAUUGACUUCAUUUAAGAUCUAGCAUGCCAUUAGAGAUUUCUAAGCUAAGGUGCUUCUAUACAUGCUUGUGUUUUGUUCUUCCUACUGAUUCCGUGUUAUGGAUUUGCAAGUGACCUCUUUGUGCUUAAGCAUGGUUGUGUGGUGAUUUUCUACAUGGAUGAAAAAGGAGUCAUAAGGGGAGUUGUGUGUUACCCCUUAUGAUAGUGAAGAAAAUGGGGCUGCCCUUGUUGUUACCCACAGCUAUGUUCCACUCUCUAACUCUCUAUAUUGCUGGAAAAAUCUUGCGAUGUGUAAGAGUGUUCAGAGAUGGUGUGGAGGGGAAAUUUAUAGGCAAGAGUGUGUGCUCGUGAAGCCUUAAUUGAGGCUGCUGAAAUCCUUGUUAUUUUCCUGCAGAAAAUCUCCCUUUUCUUUGAUCUUUUGCAGCCACUUUAACUGAAAUUUGGUGGUAUACUAAGGACAUAAGGACUAUGCAUUCAUGUUAUUUGUUGUCUUUCUUUCCUUUUUGCAGGGGCUUGUUGGGGGAUCAAUAGCUGCAGCUGCCCUUGCCUCUUUUGGCAAGGUAUUUUGGUCUAUAUUUGAAAGGUGCUCAACAGAGGUGAUGGCUCGUACUUGGUUCGUAUUAAACCAGAAGGGCCGAGAAAGGGCUUGGGCCUGAGGAGGAAGUCCAAAAGUGGAAGCUGCACAAAAAAAAGUCCCUCUUCCAAGCUCUAGGCCCAUACUUGUAUAAUUUGUACUAGCAUUCAAAUUUUCUUUUUCUUAAACUCAUAACUCACAUGUAUUUAAUUAUGUAAGCUAAAGUGUAAUUUGGAAAGUA